rnacentral:tRNA from 1 species
UUAAUUAAAGCCAAAGAAGAGGCUUGUUAUUGUUAAUAACAUUAUUGAUUUUUUAAUCUAAUUAAA